GUAGCAAGCAGCACUACUAAGCUGAAAUCAAGGUGUCAGCAGCCAGGGUCUCCUUGGAGACUCAAGUCCUCCUUCAAAGUCAUUGUCUUGUAGCUGUAGAAUUUAUGGUAGCAUGCUGCUUCAAAAACAUCACUUUGACAGGUGGUGGUGGUGCACACCUCUAAUGCACUCAGGAGCAAAGACAAGUGGAUCUGAGUUUGAGGCCAGCCUGGUCUACAGAAUGAGUUCCAGUACAGCCAAGGCUACACAGAGAAACUCUGUUGGAAAAACCAAACCACCUGUCUUAGUCAGGGUUUCUAUUCUUGCACAAAACAACAUGACCAAGAAGCAAGUUGGGGAGGAAAGGGUUUAUUCAGCUUACACUUUUCACACUGCUGUUCAUCACCAAAGGAAGUCAGGACUGGAACUCAAGCAGGUCAGGAAGCAGGAGCUAAUGCAGAGGCCAUGGAGGGAUGUUACUUACUGGCUUGCUUCCCCUGGCUUGCUGAGCUUGAUUUUUUGUAGAACCCAAUACUACUAGCCCUGGGAUAGCACCUCCCACAAUGGGCCCUCCCCACUUCAUCACUAAUUGAGAAAAUGCCUUACAGGUGGAUCUCAUGGAAACAUUUCCUCAAGGGAGGCUCCUUUCUCUGUGAUAACUCCAGCUUGUGUCAAGUUGACACACAAAACCAGCCAGUACACCAACCAACCAACCAACCAACCAAACAACCAAACAAACAAACAAACAAAAAACCAAAUAAACAAAAAAAAAACCCCAAGCCUGCUCCCCUCAUUAUUCCUGAUCUUCAGUGCUCCCUUUGAAGGUUUCUGAUUGGAUUCAGACUACCCAUAUAAUCUUUCUUGAUUAAUUUAAAGUCAACUGUCACAGUUAUUGUUUGAUUGCUGGGAAUAGACACCAUGACCAAGGCCACUUAUAAAAGACAGCACUAGGGGACAGUUUCAGACGGUGAGUGAUCAUGGUAGGGAGUACAGCAGCAGGCAGGGAGACAUGUUGCUAGAGCAGUAGCUGAGAGCUUCUCUCUAUAAACUUAUAUCCUGAUCCAUGAGCUGGAGGCAGAGAGAGGAAGACUGGACCAGGUGUGAGGUUGGGUUUUUAUGUUUUGUUGUUUUUAACAGGGUUCUCUCUGUGUACCCCCCACCCUCACCCUCCAGCUGUCCUGGAGCUCUCUCUUUGGAGCAAGCUGAUCUUGAACUCACAGAGAUCCCCCCCCCGCCCCGCCUGCCUCCCAAGUGCUGGGAUUAAAGGUGUGCUCCAUCACAUUACAUCCCAAAGCCCACUCCCAAUGACACACCUCCUCUAACAAAGCCACACCCCUAAUCCUUCCCAAACAGUUCCACCAAUUAGGGACCAAGUAUUCAAAUAUAUGAGCCUCUGUGUGUGUGUGUGUGUGUGUGUGUUUCAUUCUAAUCAGCUGAUUUGGAAUCUUAUGUACAUCUGAAAAGUCCCAUGUAAUGUCAUUAAAUCAUAAGGGUGAUGUCAUAUUUUCCACAUUCUGCUGGCUAGAAGCACCUCACAGAUAUGGCUCACUGAGUCAUUUUAGAAUUCUUGAGCCAAGCAUGGUGGCAUGCACCUGUAAUCCCAGCACUUGGGAGGUGUGGGGUGGAGGGGCAGGAGCUAAAGAUCACCCUUGGCUAGAAACUCCAAGGCUAGUUUGGGAUCCAGCCUGAGACCCUGUCUCAAAACUAAACACAACUCACCUACCCCUAACCC
rnacentral:lncRNA from 1 species